GGCUUUGAAACAGAAAGAGUUGUUUUUACAGACAUUCAUUAAUAGGUGUGGUGUAGCAAAGAAACAGAAGUCAGUGCAGUACGAAGUUGUUGUUGUUGGUGUAAAAUCGAAUACAAAGAAAAUAAAAGUUGAAAAUGAAAUGGGUGAUGAAGAUGAUGAUGUUCUUGUUACAGCAGUGGAAGAGGCAAGUUGAAAUGUAGAAGAAAUUGGUGGAAAUGGAAACAGAGAAAAAAAGGAGAUUUUUUAUCAGCAGGAGAAGAAAAGUGUAGUGAAAAAGGAAAUGGCUGAUAAUGAUGAUGGUGUUAUUAUUGAAGCAAUGAAAGGUGGAAGUGGCAUCAGUGAAGAAAUUGGUGUUGAAGCAAGCAGUCGAAAGGAGGAGAAGAGUUGUCAGGAGGACAAAAAAAGAAAACAUUAAGAUUUCGA
rnacentral:lncRNA from 1 species